UACGUAGGGGGCAAGCGUUAUCCGGAUUUACUGGGUGUAAAGGGAGCGUAGACGGCUAGACAAGUCUGGUGUGAAAACCCGGGGCUCAACCCUGGGACUGCAUUGGAAACUGUUUGGCUUGAGUGCAGGAGAGGUAAGUGGAAUUCCUAGUGUAGCGGUGAAAUGCGUAGAUAUUAGGAGGAACACCAGUGGCGAAGGCGGCUUACUGGACUGUAACUGACGUUGAGGCUCGAAAGCCAGGGGAGCGAACGGG
rnacentral:rRNA from 1 species